GAAGAGCGAGAGAGGGAGACUGAGAGUGAGCACGGUGUGUCCUGAGUGAGAGUUAGAGUUUUAAAAAGUUAAGAGAAACAAAUGCUCAAACUAAUGUGAGAAACGGAUAGUGACUCGUAGCAUCAACCUUGUGACAGUGAUAGUUUUACAUUGUGUUUGCCUGUCCUGUAUGACUCAUAAAGAGUUCUGUAGCAGCCGAGUGAGAUCCAUCUAAAGCUAGUUCAGCACUGAAGUUAGCUUUGCGCUGGGGAAGGAGAAAUUAGACUGUUCGAGAGAGCUGCCAGCCCGGCCAUUCAUUUCAACCGUCAGUCCGUCAGCGAAGUAGCCGUUUGUUUAAGGCUCCAACACUCUCUAGCCUCAACACAGGCCUGCUCAGUGCACUGGAAAACUGGUUGGGUACCCACAAUUUGGUUUAUUUGUUUAUAUAUGAGGUAAUUUACAUGCCGGCUUAGAAAUAGUAGUUCAACGAGUAUAUUGAGGUUUUACGGUAAUCGGUUGCUAAGCUAAGCUAUGCUAAGCUACGCAUGGGUUUGAAUGUGUUUGAGGGAAGGCUAAGCUACGCAUGGGUUUGAAUGUGUUUGAGGGAAGGCUAAGCUACGCAUGGGUUUGAAUGUGUUUGAGGGAAGGCUAAGCUACGCUUGGGGUUGAAUGGGUUUGUCAAUUGAGGGGAGGCUAGGCUAAGCUACGCAUAGCUCCGAAGGUAUUGAACUGAGGGAAGUGACUGGACGCAGUCCAUAUCGAAUUUGUUGUUUGUGGUUUAUAUUUUUGUGUACCUGUACAUGUAUACUCUUUGAAUAAUAGUUUAAAGUAAAUGGUUAAAAGUUAUUCCCUUGUGUAGUGUCAUUUCAGUAGAUUACUGCUUGGGUAAAUGGUGUAUAGUUAACCAGUGUCUAUCGUUAUAAAAAUAGUAUUAGGUAAAUGGUGUAUAAUUAACCUAAAUAGAGUUGUAUAGAGAUAUACAUUUAUUAGCUGUGACUUGUAUUGGGCUAUUAAACAGUAGUCAUAACCUGCUUAAAUAAUAGUGUAGCAUAAUUACAUCUUUAAUUACAUCCAGAAACAGUUUAAGAAUUCGGGCAGCUCACUCCAAUAACAUAGCUAGGACAGCUAGGGGGCACUACAUAUACCAAAACAUUAACCUUCUGAAUAGCCACUUAAAAUGUAAAUUAUUUAGAAUUUAUGCUUUUAUGAGUUUCUACAAAAUGUAGAUUGCUAUAUACAUUCUGUAUAUUUGAAUUAAAAUCGCUUCAGAAUUAAGAGAAUCACAACCGUUUACAAUGUUUAAUUUACCACUCUGAUGUGAUGCAUAGUUCACUGAGGUAUGUAAUUUCUUUAUCUGUUGUUAAUGCACUAGCUAGUUGGCGCUAGCUAACUGUUUCAUACAGUUUGGCUGUUCUAUGGCACUAAUUAAUCUUGCAAUGUGUGUCUUACAUUAUGUCACAGCUGCAAACAUAAGUGAAGAAAUGGUCAGCACUCUGUCUCGUGAAGACCUGCGGGACCUUUUCCCAGGCCCAGAGAACUUCUUGCGACGAAAAGCGGUCUGGCGAAUCUGUCAUGGUGUUUCAGAAGAGGAAACUGGCAGAGAAGACUCAAAAUCAACAUGCAGUUCUACUUCUAUUAAUGGGUCACCCCUACCUCAGACAUCCACUCCAGUGAAAAGAUGUCCUGCAAAGCACACAACACCUGAAAAGGUUGUGAAGUUAUCCUUCCCAGAAUAUGUUUUGCACACUGACACCGAACUAGAGCAAGUUCGAAAACAAUAUUUUGAGUUGGCGAAGACCGGUGAAGAGAGCAACUGCCAAAUUUCGAAGGACCUCAGAUGUCGGCUCAUCCGAAACACCAUGACCACUAUGAUCGCAAUCCUGAGGGCUAAGGGGGACGGAGACAGAUACCCGUCAAAGCCGGAAAUUACAGCUAUGGCAAAGAGAAUAGUGCUGUACUACCCAAUGGUGCAGGACCGAGACCUGAGCAGCAAGAAUGCAUGGGUUACUGUGUACUCUCAGCUUUACAAAAGAUUGCAAAAUGUGAGAUCUCCCCAAAAGACCAAUCCAAAGAGGCGCCGACUCGAGGAGCCAACGUGCCAACCUGAGCUGCUAAGUGACCCAGAUGAAUUACAUUCAAGUGACUCAACAGUCAUUCUGGAUCGCUCCUCACAAGGGAGUAGCAUUCAAGACUUCCCUUCUGAAGGGAGUAGCACCCCAGACUUAGGCAGCAAUGCCAGACCUAUUCUGGAUCGCUCCUCACAAGGGAGUAGCAUUCAAGACUUCCCUUCUGAAGGGAGUAGCACCCCAGACUUAGGCAGCAAUGCCAGACCUAACAUGCCCGCAGACAUCAACACUCCAGACACAGACAGUCCAGCAACUAUGGCCAAGCACUACAGAACCCUACAAUCUUUGUUUAAGAAGAACAAUCCCAACCGUGCGUCCGUCUCUCAGCUCCUGGAUUUGGAAUUUGCAGCCAGAAGAGCAUUCAUUGACUGAUUCUUUUCGCGAGGAGGACAGACACAAUACAAUUCUAGAGGCGUAUCCUUGUUUCAAGGACAUUGGACAUGUGAUGGAGGAGCUUCAACGCAUUCUGGACAAAAAUAACAUCCACUACAUUAACGAGCUGAAGGGAAGAUGGGACAACUUCUGCCAGAAGGUGCAGUUUUUUGGUGUGUGGAAAAAGCUGCUGAAACCCCCAAUAGGAAUGGACAAAGUUGAACAGGCUCUCAGUAUCCUACGUGUGCUGCCUUCAUUGUUCCCUUCUUCAUCUGCUCCUCCGAAGAAGUUAGGACAUGCGAGUGAGGCUCUGGUGCAUGUCCUUGAGGAAAAAGAAGACCCCAAUGACUGCUUGAAGAAACGCCGUCUCUCCUGUCCAGUCCUUAUUGUGAGUUCAUCCAACUGCCUCCUGGCUGUAGGAGAGGUGCCAAUAACUACGCUCCCAAAAGACAAGGUUACAGAGGGUGUUUUAUACCUUAUGGCCUACUAUUAUGCUUUACACCUUACUUACCCCAGGUGCGUAGCCACUCUGCUUUCUGUCAUACAAACGGAGGUCCUCUUGGACACAAUCCAUGAGCGAGACCUCACACCAUCUUUCAAGAAAGGCAUGGCUGAAUGGAAAGCUUUUGUUGGCAAGUAAAGCCGUUUCCCUUCGUAUUUGUCGUAUUCGCAAAUUUAGCCCAAUGUUAAGGUUGCAAUAGUACGAAUAUAAUAAUAAUUUUGUUGAUAUAUUGAGGGACACAUUGCCCAGAUAUUCGUUGUAAGCCCAAGACCCUUAACUUGGAUGUUCCAAUAAAAAGCAGUUUUGUAAUUGUAUUGAGAUGUCAGAUGUCCAUGAGAGAAAAUAAAAUAUGUUUUUGUUUAAUGCCAGACUUGUUUUCAUUGAAGUAUGUGGUUUUCUUAAAUCUAGAACAGUAUCACUAUUGUAGAGCUAACAUUAAGUUAAAUUCACUUGAAUUGUGUCUUAUUAUGAUACAAAAGCACUUCUUAUGAGUGAAAAAAAUGCAUAAUAUGAGUAUUUCCAGCUAAUUUUAGGACAUUUUAUCCUAAAAUGCUUAAAUAAUCCCUUUCUAAUCUUAUUUCAAGUUGGUGGUGGUCUAAAAUCUAGGACAAUGUCACUAUUUUAGAACUUAAAAUGAGUAAAAUACACUUGAAUUGAGAUGAAUUGUGUCUUAUACAAAAGCACCUCUUAAUAUGAGUAAAAAAAUGCAUAAAAUGAGUAUUUCCAGCUAACUUUAGGACAUAUUUUAUCCUAAAAUGCUUAAAUAAUCCCUUUCUAAUCUUAUUUCAAGUUGGUGGUGGUCUAAAAUCUAGGACAAUUUCACUAUUUUAGAACUUAAAAUGAGUUAAAUACACUUGAAAUAAGGGGGAUGCUAUGAACAGUGAAAAAACUAAAAAGCUACUUUUGAGGGAAAAAUGCUACUUUUGAGCAUUACCAGCUUAUUAUGAUACACAACACUUUCUAAUACUAGUCAAAUAUAGCUCAAAAUAAGUUUUCCUGGCUAAUUUCAAGAUCACUUUUAUCGCAAAAGUCCUAAAUAUUACAUCUUAUUUCAAGAAAUCUUGACAAGCCGAUUUUCACUAGUUCCAUUGGCAGAUUUUUUUUGCUUGUUUCAAGCAAAAUCGUCUUGUAUUUGUUUUUUUUUAACUUAUUU